GGCGGCAUGCCUUACACAUGCAAGUCGAACGGCAGCACGGGAGCAAUCCUGGUGGCGAGUGGCGAACGGGUGAGUAAUACAUCGGAACGUGUCCUGUAGUGGGGGAUAGCCCGGCGAAAGCCGGAUUAAUACCGCAUACGCUCUACGGAGGAAAGGGGGGGAUCUCAGGACCUCCCGCUACAGGGGCGGCCGAUGGCAGAUUAGCUAGUUGGUGGGGUAAAGGCCUACCAAGGCGACGAUCUGUAGCUGGUCUGAGAGGACGACCAGCCACACUGGGACUGAGACACGGCCCAGACUCCUACGGGAGGCAGCAGUGGGGAAUUUUGGACAAUGGGGGAAACCCUGAUCCAGCAAUGCCGCGUGUGUGAAGAAGCCUUCGGGUUGUAAAGCACUUUUGUCCGGAAAGAAACCUCCGA
rnacentral:rRNA from 1 species